GUUGUAUGCCAGUCAUGAGUCUGUUCUCCGUUGACAACAUGGCAGCUCCUCCAGUGGCUCCUUGCUCAGAAGCACUCAUCAUCGAAAUUGAGCGGUGUCCAUGGCUAUGGAACGCAAGCCGUAUGGACUACAGGGACACUGGGAAGCGCAAAAAUUCCUGGAAGGCAAUUGGAAUCGCUUUCUGCAGCGACUCUAACGCCUGCUGUCAGGCUUGGCUGGCCAUGAGGGCCAAGUAUGCGAGAGAAUCGAAGAAACAAAGAGGCCGGAGCGGAGCUGGCCGCGAUGGUCUUGCCGUGCCAACAUGGCACCUCUUCAAGUAACUGGCCUUCCUUAAGGGCCAGAUUCAGCACCGACGCACCAAAGUGCUCCCUGUUGCGGGGGGAGUGGCGUCCACUUCUGCAGCGGCAGCAGACGUUGAAAAAUGAGGCGUGAGCCCAGAGGCAAGUUUGCUUACACGGUAAGAAAAUCUAGAACCGAUUUGGGAUCACCUGCUUUCUCCUACAGAGUCUUGUGGUAAAGUAAAAUGAAGGUCAAGGACAUUGUGAAAGAAUGCCUGACUGUUGUUACGAAAGGAAGCAUCUUGAUUCCUCCCACACACUAAGCUAGAUGCCAUGUUGACAGAUGUUUGCCCCACGUUAUUCUAUGUGCGGAGGAAGUGUUCUCGAGGUCACUUGAUUUCUUUCGCGUCAAGAUUUACCUCAUGUGCUCCAGCCAUCGGCGACAAAAAAGAAUAGCGUCUGAAACUCACUUUUUAUUUCAUUUUCGUAGCUACCGGUCUUUAUUCGGAGUGCAGACAAGCUGGCUAAGUUGACGUCAACCAGUUGGUGGCCAAAAUUACCUUCAGGGCUCCUAUUUUGGUCAUGGGUGAGAGCGAGAUCAUUCUCGGCUGUUGACUAUUAUCGUUCAUUAUCAACUAACGAAACAAAAUUAAAUCCGUUUUGCAGUCUACGGUCAGGCAAUAUUUCAGUGACAACUUCUUGCCAACACACAAAUGAGAAGAGAGGUGGCUUCUGACGUGCCUGUCCCAUAUCGCCCAUCUACUGGUCAAUAUUGGGAUUUGUAUGGCUGCAAAACAAUUUGAGAUUUGCUAAGGAACCACAAGUUUGGCAAUUGCUUCCAAUGUCGAAUUGCAAACGGUAGUUUCAGCCAGGAACGGAUUCAGAGGGGAGGUCCGGAUGUCCUGACCCCCCUCUUGAUUUCUGCAUGUGUAAAAAUUUAGGGCGUGUGCAUGUGUAAAACUUUCCCUUACCGCCUUAUCUUUAUGUUUUCUAAUAACAGUGCACAAAUUAAAUUCAGGUUUGCACCCACAGUCAAGGCAGUGCAUUGACAAAUGAUCGUCAAGCUGUCCGCUCACUUUUUGGUUGUGUUCGCGCAAUCUGUCAUUUAGACAUCUUCCCGUCUGUCCCACAUACU
rnacentral:lncRNA from 1 species